GCUUACGGCCACACCACCCUGAGCACGCCCGAUCUCGGAAACUAAGCAGGGUCGGGCCUGGUUAGUACUUGGAUGGGAGACCGCCUGGGAAUACCAGGUGCUGUAAGCU
rnacentral:rRNA from 1 species